UUCCUAAUCCCCCGCCCUACGGGCUGGGCGACAGCCCUGCCAUCCUGACACCGCAGUCUCUCGAGGCCUGGGGUGUCACGUGCCGGCGGCGCUGACGAUUUCAGGGCGCCCCUUCCCCUUCCCCGGGCCUUCCAGCUGCUGCGGAGGUUCUGGAGUCAGGGCAAGUACUCGGCUCCCGACUAGCCUGACUCUAAACGCAGCCAACAAACAGAACUUUGAUGAGAGAGUGUGCAGACUCCCAGGCUCUGGCCUUACCCUUCGGUACUUCGUUCUUCAGCCGGAAAGACCAAGGACCACUGGGGUAGAGCUGGUGAUGAGGGAUUCAUCAAUACCUUGGAAUGCGUGUUAAUUCACAAGGUGGAAGGGGACCCUGUGCUACGGGUGAAGAGUUUAUGUACCAGAUGAAUAGCUAUGAGGUCAUAGGUAGGCUUUUUAACCAAUUGAAGAAAUAACGCAUAAACAUUUAGAGGGCCCAUUAUUAUAACCAUCUCUAUUUAUGUGGUGUCUUAUAAGUGCUUGCUCUUGCACAUAUUAAUUGAUUUAGCACCUCCUGGCCUCUAGCUAACCCACUUUACAAUCCAAAGGACCAAAGCUCUAGCUGCCCAAAGUAACUUCCUCGGCAGGAAGACUUUGGAAUGGGAGAUGUGGCAUUUUCUCCCAUACAGUCUUCGUGGAAGGCAGGCCCGGGCCUCCCCCGCUCACACCCAAGGCUUAAAGCUCCACUCUUGCCUUCUUUAACUUUUUCAUAAUUUUUGAACUAGGAGGCUCUGCACUUUGCUUCGUGCUGGGCCACACAAAUUAGGCAGAGCGUCCUGCACACCCGUGCUAGCUGACAGAGCACGAACGUUUCACUUAGUUGGACCUCACCUGUGAAGUUCACGAGGUACCAUCAAUCGCCACUCCAGGCAAGACGUUCCCAUCUCCUUCCUUCUGCUCAUUCCCCACCCCCAUCAGGUAACCCGCUCUGAUAGUUGUCUUUUAAUGCACGGUUUUUCCUUGGAAAAACAAAAUGAAUCUAUUUUAAAAUAAGAAAUCUAAACGAUUCUAAAAAUGCACAGCUUGCUGAGAUUUCACAAGCCGAACACACUCGUGUAAGCAGCACACAGAUCAAGAAACAAAAAUAUUAUCACCCCCCACACACACACACAAGACCCUCCCCUUCUGCUCCUUUCCAGUCACGAUGUACUCAAGAGUCACCACUAUUGUGACUUUUAACCCCAAAGAUCGGUACGUCUUAAUCUUGCAUUUUAUACAAACAGAAUCAUACAUUAUAUACUCUUUCGUGUCUGACUUCUUUCGCUCCUCGUUGGUUGGAAGACCCCUCCAUGUUGUUGGGCGUGGUGGGCAGAAUUUCGAGGUGCCCCCCGAGAUUCCUCAUCCUCCCCUAUUCACACUGUCUCCCAGUUAUUCAACCAUAUGUGAAUCUGGGUGCUGCUGUGAAGGGAUCUUGUGAUGUCUAAGGCCCAAAUCAGUGGGCUUUAAGAUAGGGAGACUAUUCUCAGUGGGCCUGAUCACAUGAGUUCUUAAAAGGCACUAAGCUCUUCCUGGCGAAAGAGCUUUGAAGUAUGAGACAGAUGGACGCGAGGGAAGUUCUUCAUUGUUGUUGGCUUUGAGGACGGAGGAGUCCGCAUGGCAAGAGAUACAGGCGGCCUCUGAGAGCUGAGAAUGGCUCCUGGCUAACAGGCCAAAAGGAAAUGAGGAACAUCGGACCUCCAACCACAAAAAAGACCCUGAAUUCUGCCAACAAACUGAAAACUAGGAAGACUGUCCUGAACCCCGGCAUGUGAGGUCCUCUGUCAAGAACCCAGAUUUCAGACCCACACAGCUGUGAGCUGGCGGGCUCCAGGAGGCUGAUUCCUGGUUUGGGGACAACUUGGUCCGUGACAAAGGUGUCUUGCAGCCACUGAACAGAAAUGCCCAGGGAUAACCUCAUCAUCUAGAGAGCCAGGGCUCGCUACGGCGUGCUCCAAAUGCGGACACUGUAUUCCACUCCAUCCGUCUUGUUCUCAAAACUUAACCUGAAGGGUCAUCCGUUCCUGUAAUGAAGGCGAUGUCUGAUGAGAACUGCACUCAGAGCAAGCUAUUCAGAGGCGAGCGAUCCAAGGCUGGGACAGUGGACUCCGUUCAAAAAAGUCUUUGAAGACCCAGGGAAGGAGGGCCCAGGAUCAAUGGUGGAUUUCGUGUCAGGAACUAGCCGGCCACACAGAGGGGUCGACAAGUCCCAGAGUUUCACUUCUGGCAUCUAUACGUUUGGCCCAGACUCUUGAGAAUUUUUCGGGAAUAUCUUCAGAUUCUUCAACCUAACUUUCAAUGUCAUUUGAAUAGAUGCAGAUUAGAGCUGCAUAAGUAAUAGA